CUUGUUCCCCCUCCCCAGCGGCAGCCUAGCCCACCAAGGGGAGAUGAUAAGCUCCACACCGGUGCAGAUGGGACCGUGGUCUCUGUGCCCAAACCACAGGGUGUAGGGACAGUUGCUCCUGUCCUCCUGCAGCAGGGUUGUUUAUCCAAAGGGGAGACAGCCUGUCUUCCCCUCCAGCAGCAGCCCCAGGUCCGGAGUGAGGAGCCUACUACGCCGUUCCCUCACCUGGGCUCCAACCAG